CAGGUGAGCUCAGGUGGGCACAGGUGGGCACAGGUGGGCUCAGGUGAGCUCAGGUGAGCUCAGGUGGGCUCAGGUGGGCUCAGGUGAGCUCAGGUGGGCUCAGGUGAGCUCAGGUGGGCACAGGUGGGCACAGGAGAGCUCAGGUGAGCUCAGGUGUGCUCAGGUGAGCUCAGGUGAGCUCAGGUGAGCUCAGGUGGG